CUCUUAUUCAGAGUUGGUGGAGGGACAGACCCGAUGAAGCCCAGCAACCAUCACUACUGGUGAAAAGGUGCUAAUCUGAUGCAAGGAUAAUAGUUCCUUGAACAAUAAGAG
rnacentral:ncRNA from 2 species